rnacentral:snoRNA from 1 species
UGAACUAAUGUUGAGGGCGUGUCAGGAACCACGGAUUAUGAUCAAUCUAAUUCUACACACCCGAGGUCCAUU